CCUACGGGUGGCAGCAGUGAGGAAUAUUGGUCAAUGGGCGCGAGCCUGAACCAGCCAAGUCGCGUGAGGGAAGACGGUCCUAUGGAUUGUAAACCUCUUUUGUCGGGGAGCAAAAGACGCCACGCGUGGCGUUCCGAGAGUACCCGAAGAAAAAGCAUCGGCUAACUCCGUGCCAGCAGCCGCGGUAAUACGGAGGAUGCGAGCGUUAUCCGGAUUUAUUGGGUUUAAAGGGUGCGCAGGCGGAAGAGCAAGUCAGCGGUAAAAUUGAGGGGCCCAACCUCAUCGGGCCGUUGAAACUGGGUAUCUUGAGUGAUCGAGAGGUAUGCGGAAGGAGUGGGGUAGCGGUGAAAUG
rnacentral:rRNA from 1 species